CCGAACUCGACGGUAGGCCUAUUCGGA
rnacentral:sRNA from 1 species